AGUGAACGCUGGCGGCGUGCUUCAGGCAUGCAAGUCGAACGGACCUUCGGGUCAGUGGCGGACGGGGUGAGUAACACGUAAGUAACCUGCCCAGAAGUGGGGAAUAACUAGCCGAAAGGUUGGCUAAUACCGCAUGUGAUGGGUCUUCCCUGGAGGACUCAUGAAAGAUUUAUCGCUUCUGGAGGGGCUUGCGGUCGAUUAGCUAGUUGGUGGGGUAAUGGCCUACCAAGGCGACGAUCGAUAGCUGGUCUGAGAGGAUGAUCAGGCACACUGGAACUGAGACACGGUCCAGACUCCUACGGGAGGCAGCAGUGGGGAAUAUUGCACAAUGGAGGAAACUCUGAUGCAGCAACGCCGCGUGGGAGGAUGACGCAUUUCGGUGUGUAAACUCCUUUUAUAAGGGAAGAUAAUGACGGUACCUUAUGAAUAAGCACCGGCU
rnacentral:rRNA from 1 species